rnacentral:ribozyme from 11 species
ACAUAUUGAUGCAAGUAAUGAUAAUAGUAGAAGUAAGGGAAAAAAUGCACAAAGCAUUUUAAUUUUUGUAUUUUUGGUGCUAUUAUGUGUAAUUUUUUCUUGCGUAUUUUACG